rnacentral:rRNA from 1 species
GAUGAACGCUGGCGGCGUGCCUAAUACAUGCAAGUCGAGCGAACAGACGAGGAGCUUGCUCCUCUGACGUUAGCGGCGGACGGGUGAGUAACACGUGGAUAACCUACCUAUAAGACUGGGAUAACUUCGGGAAACCGGAUCUAAUACCGGAUAAUAUAUUGAACCGCAUGGUUCAAUAGUGAAAGACGGUUUUGCUGUCACUUAUAGAUGGAUCCGCGCCGCAUUAGCUAGUUGGUAAGGUAACGGCUUACCAAGGCGACUAUGCGUAGCCGACCUGAGAGGGUGAUCAGCCACACUGGAACUGAGACACGGGCCAGACUCCUACGGGAGGCAGCAGUGGGGAAUCUUGCGCAAUGGGCGAAAGCCUGACGGAGCAAUGCCGCGUGAGUGAUGAAGGUCUUCGGAUCGUAAAACUCUGUUAGUAGGGAAGAACAGAAGUGAAAGAAACUAUGCACGUCUUGACGGUACCUACUCAGAAAGCCACGGCUAACUACGUG